UAAAAGGGCAUCUAAUGGAUAGUUAGGUGUAAAAAGUGAAAAGGACGUUUUACAACGAAAUUCAAAGGGAAGUUAAAACUUGUGAUCUUUGAGUAUCCUAAGACAUGAAAAUGUACUCUUAUUGAGUUAUUUAUCAACUUUGUGAAUUGAACCAUCUUAGUAACAAAAGGAAAAAAAAUCAAACGAUAUUUCGUGAGUAGUGGCGAACGAAAACGAAGGUUAGGCUUUAAAAUUAUAGUGUUUUUAAUGUGAAACUUGUCUUAGAAGGUAUAAACCCUGUAACAUUAAUAACUAUAGCUCAAAAGUAGUAUGAGAAUCAAUCUUGUACGAAUUAAGAAAUACCACUUUCUAAGCCUAAAUACUUUUUAUAACCGAUAGUGAACAAGUACCGUGAGGGAAAAUUGCAAAGACAGAUUAAAAAUCUUUAUUUUGAGUUUGAAAUUGGAUGCUUACAAACUGUUGUGGUAUAUGAAUAAUUUAUAUUACAACGUACCUUUUGUAUAAUGGACCAACAAGUAAAAAAUUAUAGCGAGCUUAAUUUAAUAGAAAAGUAGGCUAAUAAACUAAUUAUUUUUAGUUAUAAUUUUUUGACCCGAAGCUAAGUGAUCUAGUCAAGAGCAGAUUGAAGUUGUAUGAGUUAGAUAUGAUGGAGGAUCGAACCCGUAUAUGUGGCAAAAUAUUGGGAAGACUUUUGAUUAGGAGUGAAAGGCUAAUCAAACUUAGCGAUCGCUGGUUUUCUACGAAAUCUAUUUUAGUAGAGUGUCUUAUAGAUUUAUCUUAGGUAGAGCUCUUAACAAAAAAGGGUGAUUCAUAAUCUUACCGAUUUUGUUUAAACUUCGAAUUGAGUUAAAUUUUAUUAAGAUAAGCAAACAUUGGGCGAUAAGGUUCAGUGUUGAGAGGGCAACAACCCAGAUCUUUUGCUAAGGUUCUCAAAUAAUAUAUAAGUUGAUAAGGUUGUUAUUAUAGUACAACAUGAUUAAGUGGGCUUAGAAGCAGCCAUCUAUUGUAAAACGCGUUAUAGCGUGUCAUUUUAUAUAAUAAUACCAAAAAUUAACGGAGAUUAAUAUAUUUACCGAAGCAAGGAAUUUAUAUAUAUAUCUAUUAUAUAUAAAUGGUAGUAGAACGUUCUAUUUAAAGUAUGUAUUUAGGUUUGAAAGAACUUAAAUAGUAUUAUUAGAAGUGAAAAUGUUGGUAUGAGUAGCGCAAAUUAUGUAAAUAAUCAUAAUCACUGGAAAUUCAGGGGUUUCUACGCAAUUUUAACCGCGUAGAGUUAAUCGGUUUCUAAAAAGUUUGUAUGAAGAUACGCUUUGAUGAAGUUAAAGUUUAAAAAUCUUUAAUCAUUUAUGGUUAAUGUCUUACAACAUGACAAAACUUUAACAUUAAUUAGAAAAAAAGAUUUUUUUUAUUUAACGUUAAAGUUUUCAAGAAAGAACUAUAAUUUAGUGACCGUACUUAUAACUGACACAGGUGAAUUGGUUUAGUAAACUUAAGUGAUUGAGUGAACCAUAUUGAAGGAAUUCGGCAAAUUAGCUCUGUAAGUUCGCAAUAAAGAGUACCACAUUAUUUUUGUGGUGAAACUAAAUAGGGAGUGGCGACUGUUUAUUAAAAACACAAGACUUUGCAAAUUCGUAAGAAAAUGUAUAAAGUCUGACGUUUGCCAGGUAUUUGUAGACUAAAUUAUAAGGUUUCAGCUUUAUAAUUAAACCCAAGUAAACGGCGGUCCUAACUAUAAGGAUCCUAAGGUAGCGUAACCCACUGACGUAUAAUUUACGUCCUGCAUGAAUAACGUAACGACUGCUCCACUGUCUCCAAUAUGGUCUCAGCGAAAUUGAAAUCUCCGUGAAGAUGCGGAGUACCUACAGUUAGACGGAAAGACCCCGUGAUUCUUUACUAUAGUUUUAUAUUGUUAUCUUUCUGAAACAUGUAUAGUAUAGGUGGGAAUUUUAUUCAUGUUUUUUCAGAAUAAAAUACCAGUGGAAUACCACCCUUGUUUUUUUAGAUAGCUUACUUUUUUAAAUAAAAAGGACAUUAUAAAAUGGGUAGUUUAUUUGGGGCGAAUAUCUCCUAAAAGAUAACGGAGAUGUACAAAGGCGGGUAAAAAUCCUAUUUUAAAAUAGGAUUUGUAAGUGUAAUGGCAUAAACUUGCUUAACUAAAAAACUGAUAAGUUUUUUAGGGAUGAAAAGUCAGUCAUAGUGAUCCGAUAAAACUUUGUGGAAAGGUUAUCGCACAACAGAUAAAAGAAACUCCGGGGAUAACAGCGUUAUCGUUCCUAAGAGUUCCUAUCGACGGAACGGUUUGCGACCUCGAUGUCGGCUCAUCAUAUCCUGGAGCUGAAGCAGGUUCCAAGGGUCCGGGUGUUCACCGGUUAAAAUGGUACGUGAGCUGGGUUUAAAACGUCGUGAGACAGUUUGGUCCCUAUCUGCUGUAGGCGUUGAAAAUUGAGGGAAUUCAUUUCUAGUACGAGAGGAUUGGAAUGAGUUAAUCAAUGGUGAAUCAGUUGUUUUUAAUCAAUGCAUAGCUGAGUAGCUACAUUAAUUUAAUAUAAACACUGAAAGCAUAUAAGUGUGAAAAUUUUCCCAAGAUAAAUUUUCAAGAAUAUUCUGAAAGAUCAUCAGAUAAAUCGGUUUAAAGUUAAUGUUUUGUAAAAAACAUGCUUAUAAAUACGAAAAUAUCAAAACUCAUGUUUGAAAACGGAUUUUUUCCGUUUCCAAACAUGAUUAU
rnacentral:rRNA from 1 species